rnacentral:rRNA from 1 species
GAUGAACGCUGGCGGCGUGCUUAACACAUGCAAGUCGAACGAAGCACCUUGAUUUGAUUCUUCGGAUGAAGAUCUUGGUGACUGGGUGGCGGACGGGUGAGUAACGCGUGGGUAACCUGCCUCAUACAGGGGGAUAACAGUUAGAAAUGACUGCUAAUACCGCAUAAGACCACAGCACCGCAUGGUGCAGGGGUAAAAACUCCGGUGGUAUGAGAUGGACCCGCGUCUGAUUAGGUAGUUGGUGGGGUAACGGCCUACCAAGCCGACGAUCAGUAGCCGACCUGAGAGGGUGACCGGCCACAUUGGGACUGAGACACGGCCCAAACUCCUACGGGAGGCAGCAGUGGGGAAUAUUGCACAAUGGGGGAAACCCUGAUGCAGCGACGCCGCGUGAGCGAUGAAGUAUUUCGGUAUGUAAAGCUCUAUCAGCGGGGAAGAAAAUGACGGUACCUGACUAAGAAGCACCGGCUAAAUACGUGCCAGCAGCCGCGGUAAUACGUAUGGUGCAAGUGUUAUCCGGAUUUACUGGGUGUAAAGGGAGCGUAGACGGAGUGGCAAGUCUGAUGUGAAAACCCGGGGCUCAACCCCGGGACUGCAUUGGAAACUGUCAAUCUAGAGUACCGGAGAGGUAAGCGGAAUUCCUAGUGUAGCGGUGAAAUGCGUAGAUAUUAGGAGGAACACCAGUGGCGAAGGCGGCUUACUGGACGGUAACUGACGUUGAGGCUCGAAAGCGUGGGGAGCAACAGGAUUAGAUACCCUGGUAGUCCACGCCGUAAACGAUGACUACUAGGUGUCGGGCAGCAAAGCUGUUCGGUGCCGCAGCAAACGCAAUAAGUAGUCCACCUGGGGAGUACGUUCGCAAGAAUGAAACUCAAAGGAAUUGACGGGGACCCGCACAAGCGGUGGAGCAUGUGGUUUAAUUCGAAGCAACGCGAAGAACCUUACCUGCUCUUGACAUCUCCCUGACCGGCAAGUAAUGUUGCCUUUCCUUCGGGACAGGGAUGACAGGUGGUGCAUGGUUGUCGUCAGCUCGUGUCGUGAGAUGUUGGGUUAAGUCCCGCAACGAGCGCAACCCCUAUCUUUAGUAGCCAGCGGUUCGGCCGGGCACUCUAGAGAGACUGCCAGGGAUAACCUGGAGGAAGGUGGGGAUGACGUCAAAUCAUCAUGCCCCUUAUGAGCAGGGCUACACACGUGCUACAAUGGCGUAAACAAAGGGAAGCAGAACCGCGAGGUCGAGCAAAUCCCAAAAAUAACGUCUCAGUUCGGAUUGUAGUCUGCAACUCGACUACAUGAAGCUGGAAUCGCUAGUAAUCGCGAAUCAGAAUGUCGCGGUGAAUACGUUCCCGGGCCU